AUUGGCCAGCUGUUUCUGGCUGCGUCAUUGCGCUGCCAGCUGAUCGGAGUGCGAAGCCGGUUUGAAGGGAGUUCGAGAGAGAGUCUAGACAGAACUGGUGAGCGGAGAGAGAGGGCGAUGGGAGCGAUGGGAGCGAUGGGAGCCUACCUUGCUGGGUGUAUUUGAACGGACGGGUCGACUGUAGCUUUUAAUUGUUAUGUAAAGUUGUGGGUAGCGAAGACUGUCUUUGGUCGAAGCAAUGAUUUGGGGUUAAGGUGGGGCUCCGGUUUGAAAUGAUUACACCUUAAAAGUAGGGAAAAAAAAACAAAAACGGACCGGAAAUUCAGCAUUUACAAUUAACUUAAAAUAGUGAGUUGAAAGACUUCUGAAGGGAGCGUCUACUCUCCUGGUGGAAAAAAAAGUCUAACUAACACAAAAAACUCCGCCCUGUGUGAGAGAUUAAUGUUGCAUCUAGAGAGGAAGUGGCUGAAUACGAUUAUUAACAGUGAAUGCAGGUAGCGUCAUAAACACACAAAGAUUAAAAGGUGUCGAAAGUUAGAGAUGUUUUAUUAUUUUUUACUGUAGUAGUUUUUUUUUAGAUUAGUAUUUGAGAGCGUCUCUGGCCAGGCUAGGUUUAGUAAUUCAGAGAAACGGACUCUGUCCUGAAAAAAUGCUCCGCGCCUCCUAACUCUGAGAUGUGUCUGCGCCGUGGAACUGCGGAAAGGAGACUGCAGUGAAUAAUGCCAAACAUGCUGUUUGGAAAAUGCCUCAAUGGUGAUUGGAAAAAAGUACAGCGUCAGGUCGCUGCGCGCCUCUGUGUGUGUGUUGGCUGAUCUGCAGCAGUUCUUCACUGGCAAGCUUUAUGUCACUGUGUACCAGCUAAAGCUGCCAGUUGAAGAACUGUUGUGGUUGGCCCUUUCCUACCCCACCAUUGAAGACCGUGUUGAAGAACAAGGCAAGAAAAAAGAAGUGGAUGAAGAAUGAAUGUAGGAUUGCUUAAUGGGUUUAAAAUAACUGAGCUGGUGGGUGGGGUAAGGAGAGUUUUAAUCACUCCUCUUAAGAGAAGAGGGUUUAAUCACAGAGCCGUAGCUAUUACUUUAUCUGUAAUAAACCAACCAUUCGUACAGAAACAGCAAGUGUAGAGGAUCUCAUUACUUUUUGGCAAGUCUUUGCUUUAUUUCACAAGAGUAUUGUGAACGUUCUGGGGUGCUGUGUCCUCCUGAACACUCAGGUUGGAAGUAUGGGAUUACAUCUAUCUGGUCAAGUCUCUGAUGCUUUAACAAAGAGGCAGUUUGCUAAAAUGUGUUCAGCUGCCUGUUUCCAACCUCAUUGUGCAGUUGAAUUCCAGCUGCACGAGGAGAAUGACUCGAAUACUCUGUUCAGUAUAGGAUGCCUUUAGUUACAACUGUUUACCACUCUGCUCGGCAUCCCGAAAAAUGAUUUUAAACAUGUCAAUUAAAUCCAAAAUGUUUUUAUAUCUCAGUUUCUUUUUCAUACACAGCACUUUGUUUAUUGUUGUACUUUUAAUAUUACAUGUUAAUGAAUGGUGCAUUUUAAAAUAAAUGCAGGAGUAAAACACAA